GACGAACGCUGGCGGCGUGCUUAACACAUGCAAGUCGAACGGAAAGGCCCUGCUUUUGUGGGGUGCUCGAGUGGCGAACGGGUGAGUAACACGUGAGUAACCUGCCCUUGACUUUGGGAUAACUUCAGGAAACUGGGGCUAAUACCGGAUAGGAGCUCCUGCUGCAUGGUGGGGGUUGGAAAGUUUCGGCGGUUGGGGAUGGACUCGCGGCUUAUCAGCUUGUUGGUGGGGUAGUGGCUUACCAAGGCCUUGACGGGUAGCCGGCCUGAGAGGGUGACCGGCCACGUUGGGACUGAGAUGCGGCCCAGACUCCUACGGGAGGCAGCAGUGGGGAAUAUUGCACAAUGGGCGGAAGCCUGAUGCAGCAACGCCGCGUGCGGGAUGACGGCCUUCGGGUUGUAAACCGCUUUCGCCUGUGACGAAGCGUGAGUGACGGUAAUGGGUAAAGAAGCACCGGCUAACUACGUG
rnacentral:rRNA from 1 species